rnacentral:lncRNA from 1 species
CGCCAGUUUCCCUCGUGCCCUCGUUCUUCCCUGGUAAGUUCUGAGAGAAAGCAGAGAGUGAGGGUGCAGCGCCUCCUCCGUCUACCCGCCGAUCCGUCGUCUCCGGCACUGGGCGCCAUGUCCGGGGGCUCGGGGCGGCUCCCCGCGUCCCAUUCCCGGCGCUAGGACCCCGAGGAGCGGCCCCCCCCGUCGAGCUCGCCCCCGUCUUCGGGGCGAACCGGGCAAACUGCGCGGCUCCUCUUCUUCGCCUCCGGCGUCCUCCGCCCCG